AUUGAACGCUGGCGGCAGGCCUAACACAUGCAAGUCGAGCGGGGUUUUCGGACCUAGCGGCGGACGGGUGAGUAAUGCGUAGGAAGCUACCCGAUAGAGGGGGAUACCAGUUGGAAACGACUGUUAAUACCGCAUAAUGUCUACGGACCAAAGUGUGGGACCUUCGGGCCACAUGCUAUCGGAUGCGCCUACGUGGGAUUAGCUAGUUGGUGGGGUAAUGGCUCACCAAGGCGACGAUCCCUAGCUGGUUUGAGAGGAUGAUCAGCCACACUGGAACUGAGACACGGUCCAGACUCCUACGGGAGGAAGCAGUGGGGAAUAUUGGACAAUGGGCGCAAGCCUGAUCCGGCCAUGCCUCGUGUGUGAAGAAGGCAUUCGGGUCGUAAAGCACUUUCAGUAGGGAGGAAGGGUGUUGUGUUAAUAGCACAGCAUUUUGACGUUACCUACAGAAGAAGCACCGGCUAACUCUGUGCCAGCCGCCGCGGUAAUAC
rnacentral:rRNA from 1 species